GGAGGUUUGCUUCCAUGGCAGGCUCUGAAGCAGAGACAGGCCUGUGAUUGAAUACGAAUUGACUGCAGUGCUGAAGAGUGAAUAGGAACACAUACUGAGCAAGACAGACAAGAUCCCUGGAUAUUGGGAACAGAACAUGCUACUGGCUUUGCAGGACAAAAUCCUAGUAAAUAUCCAGAGUUAGAUGGACUGGACUGUAGGGAACCAUACUUUUUAGGAGGCAUUAGCAAGAGUCACUCG